CACUCCUUCAGUCACUCACUCCAUUCCAGGAGGAGUCAAAACUAUGCAAUCAUUGACUUUCGCGAUAAAUCACGCCUCUCGCGUCUUGCCCUCCUAAGGUUUGCCAAACUUAGGGUCCAUAGGUCCCAACGACCUAAUACUAAGCUCUGAUACCAACUUAUUCUGUCACGCCACGGAUUUCUCGUUCCCCCGGCACGCCGACAAAUCCGCCAUAUACAAAGAAAUUUUUUCUGUAUACGAAGCAAUAGAUGUACCUGCAAAUAUACAACACUACAACCAGUAGUAUAGAGCUGCUAAAAGAACAAGUAUAUAAAAUCAUGGAUCAGUACAUACACAGUAUCCU
rnacentral:lncRNA from 1 species